UAUUAUUUGCUACAUAGAAAAGGGUCGCUGAGAGGGGUAGAACUUAAGCAGGCAAAAAGAAUCAUAAAAUCCUAGAAUGGUUUUGGUUGGAAGGGACUUAAAAAAUCACCCUCGCUGUGGACAGGGACACCUUCUGUUAGACCACUUUGAAAUAAAUAGAUGAAAAGGUAAGCAGUGUCAAAUAUGCAUGAAUUAGUGUUUACUAUAUUUAUAUGCCUGUGUUUAAGGGCAAUUUUAUGACAGUAUUUCCUUACAAGAGCAGAGAAAAUGAUGUCUGGUCUAACUUGAAUCAAAAACAAGUUGAUGGGUCCUCAAUCUGCAAGGCAGGACAGAGGACCUGGUGGAAAAAGGUGUGUGCACUGGAAGUUUGGCACUUGUAAAAGUGAUCACUGUAGGAGCUGAACAGUGCUAAGAGAAUAAUUUUGAUGCUUGAUCAGUUAGAAAAACUUCACAGCUGAAAAGAGUUGAGGUUUCUAUAAUGGUUUUGAUACUGUAACAAAAUAUGAACAAAUGAGCCUUUGUCAGGUGACCAGAUCAUCUAGGACUUAACCAACAAGUUAAAUCAACUCCCCUUUAUUGUGGUCAGCACAACUUGAUUUAUUAAUGUCUAGGUUAACAAAGUGAUUGACAGCAGCUUAUAGCAAGGCAGCAAAAUCAAUUGUACAAAGAUCUGGAACUGGAGCUUUGCUGACUCUAUUCUGAUAACAUUGAAUGCACAGAAAACGUCACAGCUGGACUGUGCAAGGGUCAGUGGCCAGCUGAGCCAAUAAAGGACUCAUAUGAAGGGAAGGCUUUCAAGGUGGGUGGAUUACACUGCUUGGCAGGGGAGUGCUGCUGGGUUUUGCAGCAGCCUAGUGCAUCUGACAGGUUUGAGCAGCUGCAGAGCCAGUCCUGCACUGGCAGUGUGGGCAGGGUCUCAAGGGCUGUGAGGGAUGUGCCAUCAGCAGAUUGCUUGAGGGGCACAGGGAUACCCAAAAGACAAUGCCUGACAUGAAUUAGGUCUCCCAGCAGCAUAGCUGCUCCAGGCUCCUUGGUGAUGCAGCUGUGCCUGAGGGUACAUACACAGCAGUCGUCCUUGGUCAUAAUAAUAAUGUCAUUUCAUCCUCUCACAUGAGCAUUUCUGGCAGUGGAAAGAGGCUCACCACUAUUGAUGAUUCCAGUCACCAUCUCUCCGGUCAUUUUCUGAAGAGGGAUCUGGAUAGGCUGGAUCAAUGGACCAAGACCAAUGGAGCUUGGGGGACACCUGUAUCAUCAUCUGCUAUCAACUUCUACUAUUUCAGCUGUUAAGAAAUUAAAGAAGUUAACCUCAUCUCAGCUGUGGUCCACCUGCAGAGAACAGAUAUUGUGGCACACCCAUAUGGAUAAGUGACUAAAAGAGCAUUUUUAAUAGCAUGUAGUAGAAAACAUCUAGCUGAGCCAGCCAGACAACUCUGUCCUCUCUGAGAAGUUGCUAAAUUUCAUUUGAUAAGGCUUCCAAUGCAUGCAAGUAUAAAAAAAAUCUGCUACUUUUUGCCAGACUCCAGCCCUAUCAAAGCUUCUGAAGAUCUUUUUUUUGUAUUUUUGAAGAGGACCUCCCUAAGAUCAGCCCUCCAGACCAAAGGAAAAUCAAGCCUGUUUCUAUAAGCAUUGGAGCUAGACACGUGUUUUGUUCCUUGUUUGGAUCAGGUGUAUGGCUGGGUGUCCAUGUGUCUGCUCUCCCAUCCCUGUGCUCCACUGAGAGAAGAUCUCACCCAUCACCACUCACUAGCUCCAGUGUGAUGGUGCUGGUUCCCAGAGGCUCUUAGAGUGUUGCCACCAAAUCCUGCUAGACCUUUGGGAAUGAUGUUCUGAGACAGAAGCUACUUAAUUCAAAAUCUUUAGGUAAUUCCAUCUCUUCCUGUUCCCUUGGAGUAGGUUCUGAACGACCUGAUCAAUGCACUCUCUUCCAUAAGAUAACAGAUGGUCAGCAGAGACCACCCCAUUUCUGCUCUGAAGUUGCCUGGCUUAUGAAAGGAAAGCUUGAAAUAAAAUACAUCCUGUGCUCUUGCUGGUGGUUUUUCCCAGAUCCACAGAGAGUUUACUGGAAUGCAGCAUCCACCAGCACUGUGAGCCAGAUAUCCCAUUUAUGGGCUUUUAUCCCUUUUAUUGAUGUCUCUUCCUUGUACCUGGUGAUAUGUAGAAAUGUAAGACUGGCUUUGAGUGGUUAUUUACAGAAAUGUGAGUCGCUUUCCCAGGUAUUUUUGUUUUCAAGCCUCUCUAUCACCUUGGCAUGAAGCUAUUAAAAGUAUUAACCUCUGGAACACCUUCAUUGCAAUUGAAUCAGCAAUGGGGUAACACCAGGUUUUAGGAAGGAAGAGUGCCAAUCACUUAUAAAAACUGAUUCAAGUCCUGCCAAGUAUUUUAAACCUUCUGGAUAUUUUUGAAGAAGAGGGAAGCUGUUUGGGUAAUGUAAACUGAAUGUCAAAGAUAACAUCUUCUAUGAGGGGUUUUCUAAAUGGUGCCAGGUUCUGAUAAAUGUAAUAGAUACUAUUUUUUAAUAUUAAUGUAUCUGUCUGUUUUGGCAUUGUGUUGUGAAGUUCACUUUAAAUCAUUAAGCUUUACAUUAUUAAAUUAUGAUGGCACCAUAAAAAUGCUAUACUUUGAAGAGGGAUUAAUAUAUAAAUCAUAAUAGUCCUGAUUCAAUUCACAGUGGUUUGAUUUCUCCAUGGAACCUACAAUCUUAAAGAGGUAGGCUGUUAAAGAGAUCAACUCAUUUAUAUUUUGGGUGCUCUUUUAGGUCCAAGUCAAUUAGCUUAAAAUUCUUCAACCAUAAAAUCCUUGUUUGCCAUCUAGGCAAGUCCUGUAAUAACCACACUGUACUUACUGGUAUGUAGAUUGGAACUGAAUUAUUUUAAAACUGUAAUUCUCUACCUUAAAAUCUUCUUCCUGUAUUUUUUAGAUGAGUGUGUCCUUUAUUGGCCAAUACAUGAUAUAUCAAAUACUUCCAUCCUGCAUUUUCAUGACCAGCAGUAUGCUAGUGCAGUGCAGUGUGUGUUAUUGAAGUACUUGCCCUUUCAAAGAAGAAAGAGAGCUCAAAUGAUCACCAGCAACCACAUCAUGAGUAUUUUGGGAAGAUUGCCCUUUAGAGAUGUGCAGACAGUGUGCCCCCCUCCCAUUCACAGCACAAAAGGUCUCACUUCAAAUGGUUUUGGUAGAAGAGGAGCCUCCACUCACUCAACACUGAUGGAUGUCUCUGCUGAGUCACACGCCUGCCUCACGAGCACGGCAGGACUGGUACUCUGCCAGUAUGGUACCGUGCCAAAAUUGUGUCCUGUGUGGUGUAAGUGGCCAUUCAUCAAGUGCAACUGACGACAUCCUGAUGAUUGAGUCAGGUUUAUUUGAUUUUUGAAGAGACCUUUUCAUUUACAUGCUGUAAGUGGAACAAUCUCCUGCUUGCUAUGAUCACAGUUUCCCUGUUUCUUUUGCAGCACAUACCAAUAUAAUAACCUAAAGUAACACCUACAUUACAACCAUUGCUGCAUGCCAGUAGAUUUUACAGGAAUAUUUGACAUGAUUGCAUGUUCCUGUUACCUUAUUUAACACAGUGCUCUCUUAGUACUUUUUUUUUUUCUCGUAAAUUGUGUCAUUUCUUUUCUUAGGCAAGAAAAGGCUUUCCCUGUCACUUAUUACCUGAGAAGAUGGUAAUGUAUCAUGCAAAAAAAAUUGCUAAAGGAAACAAUUCAGGCCACUUUUCUGUGGGCUGUAAUUGGCUACCCAGUGCCCCCUGGUGAGACACCUCCCUACGCAGCAUAUCUCACCCAAGUUAAGGUCACAAGAAACUAUUAGAUCACCAAAUUUGGCCUGAUACAUAUCAAAGGCAUUUAAGUUUCACCCAGGAAUGUCUUUCUCAUUACAUAUUAAGUUUUCAGGUGAUAAAACUACACCAUUGUCUAGUGCUUGGGGGCUGCUGAGGUCACUUAAUUUGUUCAGCCUGGAGAAGAGGGGACUGAGGAGAAAACUUCACUGCAGUUACAACUUCCUUGUGAGGGGAAGAGGGGAGGCAGACGCUGAUCUCUUCUCUGUGGUGAUACUGACAGGAUCCAAAGGAUUGGCUUGAAAUUGUGUCAGGGGAGGUUUAGGUUGUAUAUCAGGAAAAGGUUCUUCACCCAGAGGGUGGUUGGGCACUGGAACAGCUCCCCAGGGAAAAGGUCACAGCAGCAAGCCUGGCAGAGUUCAAGGACAGUGCUCUCAGACACAUGGUGUGACUUCUGGGGUGAUUCUGUGCAGGGUCAGGAGUGGGACUUGAUCCUUUUGGGACCCUUCAAAUUCAGAAUAUUCUCUCUAUGGUUUAACAAGAUCCCUCCCUGUGCCCCAGCAGAAAUAUUUCUUGUUCCCACCAGGACCAAGAAACCUGGAAGCCAAGGACCCCAUGGCUGCAUACAGACUGCACAAUCAAGCAGAGCCAGCUACACACUGCAAGAUAAAGCAUGGUUAAUGUGAACAGCUUGCUCACGUCCACAACACAUGCUGCUUGGAUUUGUACCUCUCCUGAGCAUUACACUUUCUGAUGAGUUCAACAAGUCUGAAGUUAUACAAGUGCUGUGUUGCAACCCAUCAGGGGCAUAGUUUGAUAACAUGACAUGACCUGGGUGUGUUGCAUACCUUGAGAAAUUGCCUGUGGGUACAAAGUCUGCUGGGAUAACAUUGGAGGAUUGUGUGGGGUGGAGGAGCCAAACUGACACAGUUUUGUCCAUAAUGCCUAUUGUGACUGCUCCUUGCAGUCUGCUGUCUCCUGGACUGGCCCAUUGUCAUCUCACAGUGGGCUAACUGGGACAGGUCAACAACAUGUCACAUACUGACAGCUGCUACAGUGUUGUGCCACCUGAGGGCUGAUUUUACCUAAGACCUGAAGAAUCAGAGCAUGAUCUUCCUUCUGCAGCCUGGUGGCCCAGCUGGACAGGACAGCUCACUGGUCCCUGAUGCUCCAUUCACUGCACAAGGGAUCAGCCUGUCUUCCUAACAAGUCCAGAGCUGCACUUCAUAAUUAUAUGUAAGAUACAAAUCUCCUUAAAAGAGAACUCAGUGUCCUGUGACUCAGUUGUAAGACACAGAUGGGGCCAUGUUUACAGCCAGAUCUGCCCAGAGCAUUGCAAUGCCAAACGUGGACAGCUGAGCUGCCUCAGGUGCCAAAAGCAAAAAGGCCAUGAUGGCUCAGUGCUGCCCUAAGGUGGAGAAGCAGGCUGAAAGUAAGUCACUGCUUUGUGUGACAGGAGCACCCAGGAGAUAUCAGUGCCACACAGCAAUUGCAACAAUUUUGUCUUGUAAAAAAGAAAGUUGUAUCAAACUUCAGGGUUGUCCUGUGCAGGGGCAGGAGCUGGACUUGAUAUUUCUGGGUCACUUCCAAAUCAGGAUAUUCUAUGAUUCUGUGAUGGUCCACAAAAAGCCUGUUCUAAAGGGUAAAUUGGAAAUGUAAAAUACAUAAAAAACCCUCAUUUUCUAGAAAAUUGUUCCAAUUAAGGAACAAGAGACAUAAAACCCAGUUCAGCCUUUAAGCUGCCGAAUGCUAUGAGAUGGGUAUUUCCUUGCAGAGCUGAGUCUUAGGGAACUUGGAGAACAGUCAGGAAAACCCACCAGAGAGUAUUUGGUUUAAUCCUUACUAAUGAAUCGACAAGGGUUUCGCUAGAAGACUGUAUGUGGAUUAUUUUAUUCCCAGCUCCACUAUCCAUGCUUUCAGAUCAGCAACACUCACUUUUUGAGGUCCUGUGAUUAAAUGUGACCUGCCAGUUCUGUGGAAAUUUCCUACUCUUGUUACUGCUCAGCCUCUUUGAUGCUGUGUCUGUCACAACAGCCACUUGGUGCACUUAGAGAGACAGUACUCCUCGUCUUGACAGAGUAUGUAGACAGCCCUACACCAACAUGUUAUUAUGUUGAAAUUUGUCCUCUUUUAACCUUACUGUUGCUAUUUCAGGAGCAAUUUUCAUUUAUACAAAUUGGACCUAGUGAAGCAUGCAAAUAUCAACUAAAUGUGAACUCAUGGAAAUUUCUCCUUGCUGAACAGCAGCAUUUGAGCAAUUAAUGAGAUUUGUAUUUCCUGUUCAUAAAUAAAAAAAUAUCUAAUUUUG